rfam:Salmo salar isolate Sally breed double haploid chromosome ssa01, whole genome shotgun sequence.
UCCCCUGUAGCUCAGUUGGUAGGGCAUUGUGUUUGCAACGCAUGGUGUUUGCAACGCCAGGGUUGUGGGUUUGAUUCCCAUGGGGGAC